rnacentral:rRNA from 1 species
GUCUACAGUCAUGCCACUCUGAACGUGCCUGAUCUUGUCGGAAGCUAAGCAGGGUCAGGCCUGGUUAAUACUCGGAUGGGAGACCACCUAGGAAUACCAGGUGCUGUAGGCA